rnacentral:lncRNA from 1 species
ACUGUGUGCCGGCUGCCCUCGCUCUCACUGGCAGGUUCUUCCCUGAUGUUAGAACCCACUUCUUCAGGCGCCCAAAGUAAACUGGAGUAAACAGCAGCUCUCCAAGAAUCCUCUAGGCCUUUUGGCACCAAAUUGGAACUUCCAAAGCAUCCAGCGUUGAGGACUGUCAGUGUGAGACAACCACUGUUGGACGACAAGAGCCACACCGUGAACUGACCAAGAUCACUAAGCACUCCCAGCUCUCAGGCUUUUGGACUCAGGCUGAAUUCUUCUACUGUUCUCCAAUUCUGCAGACAGUAAGCCAUGGGAAUCUCAGUCUCCACAGCCACUGAAUCCUCUUCUUAUAGAGAGACUCCAUGUCUGUGAGGGUGGCACAUGGAGUGAUGGAGUGAGUUCUCAGCCAGAAAAAAAAAAAAAAAAAAAAAAAAAAAAACCAAAGCGAAGCCCCAGAGAAUAUGCAGCUGAAGAAAAAGAAAAGCAAGUCUGAAAUGUGCUCACAGCAUCCUGAAGCAAUUUAAGAGAGGAUGGGGAGGGGGCUUGCCCAGAGAUCUAGGCAUGGAAAUUAUUUCCCCCUUUUAAUGCAGAUGGAAGAAAAUGAGAACUGCUGCACUCCCAAGAGGAAAACCAGCCAAAAGGAAAAGUCUCUUAGCAUUCCCAGCAAGACGCGCCUGUGUGUGUACAAACAACUUGCAAAGGAGCAAGGCCGCCCUGGGGUAACGCUGGGGUGUCCUCCUUCUCUGCCUUUCAGCUUCUCUGCUUACCAGUCUGCACUACAUGCAGAAAUGCUCUGCGCACGCACGUCUAAGGUGUGUGUACACAUGUAGGAACGGUUCACUCUGCUCUGCACCCUGCUCUCUGAAUGUCUGGAGUGUUUCCAAUGGUUUGCUAUAGCAAUGCAGUAUCUGGGAUAUAUUUCCCAGGCCCCUUUAUAUCACUGAGUUGAGGCUAGAACAUAGGAUAUAUCUGUAAUGGUCAGUUUUCUAGGUCAGUUUUCUAGGACAACUCCUGGAAGAAAAUAGGAAGUGUGUUCAGGAUCCCCUAAAGCAGAAUGUUGACCUUUCCAGUUCUGAGCAGAGCAUUGUAGGGGGUCUGGCGCUCUCUAGGCCUCCUCCAGGAGAGGUGACUUUCAAAGAUGCCUUCACUGGGUCAGGAAGAAAAGAUGAUUCAUCUUUGCAAAACAAAAUCAAAAUCCCUCUUCCCUCUCCACAAAUGAUUUAGGAAACAAAAUUGAAGACUUGGAAAGUGUCCAUCACAAAGAGGCGAAACCCAGAAUGACUACGGAACCCCGGAGUGGGAGUCCCAGUCGGACAUGCCGAGAGCCGGACCACCAUUGUGGCUGGAAAUCUGAGUGGGUGUCAGAGAGGAGAUGUGAACUUCUGUAACACGCCGAACUGCUAAAAAUUCCUGCGACAUUUCCUUCCCCCCAAUAAACUGUCACACAGCAAAGCUGUUUCUGACAGGAUUGAAGUUCCGGGAAAGCAAUAUGGAGACCUUCACCCCGCAGGUGUACAUGGUUCCCGACGUGAGUCCCUGAGGAUGCUCUCCUGCAGCAGUUUAGGUGUGGCUGAGGUUGGCAUAGUCAGAAAG